AGCAAUACAAAAAGCUGGCCAGACAGUUUCACCCUGAUAAAGCAGGUGCAGAAUUUGAAGAAAAAUUUAAAGAAAUAUCAGUUGCAUAUGAAGUUUUAAGUGAUCCAGAAAAGCGAGAAAUGUAUGAUAGAUAUGGUGAAAAAGGUCUUUCUGAAGGAGGAUUUGGAGGGGGUAUGGAAGAUAUUCUCAGCCAUAUAUUUGGACAUGGUGGGGGACAUGGUGGAUUUUUUGGUGGAAUGGGUGGAUUCGGUUCAUUUGGUAUGGGAGGUAGUUCAAGGCGAAGUCAAAA
rnacentral:lncRNA from 1 species